AAAUUUGAAAUCUGGCGCAAGCCCGAGUUGUAAUUUGUAGAGGAUGCUUCUGGGUAGCGACCGGUCUAAGUUCCUUGGAACAGGACGUCAUAGAGGGUGAGAAUCCCGUAUGUGACCGGCCCGCACCCUUUACGUAGCUCCUUCGACGAGUCGAGUUGUUUGGGAAUGCAGCUCUAAAUGGGAGGUAAAUUUCUUCUAAAGCUAAAUACCGGCCAGAGACCGAUAGCGCACAAGUAGAGUGAUCGAAAGAUGAAAAGUACUUUGGAAAGAGAGUUAAAAAGCACGUGAAAUUGUUGAAAGGGAAGCGCCUGCAACCAGACUUCGCGGCAGUGUUCCGCCGGUCUUCUGACCGGUUCAUUCUCUGUCGCGAGGCCAUCAUCGUCUAGGCCCGCCGGAUAAGACCUUGGGAAUGUAGCUCACCUUCGGGGGAGUGUUAUAGCUCAUGGUGAUGCGGCGAGGCUUGGGCGAGGUCCGCGCUUCGGCAAGGAUGAUGGCGUAAUGGUUGUCGGCGGCCCGUCUUGAAACACGGACCAAGGAGUCUAACAUCUAUGCGAGUGUUCGGGUGUCAAACCCCUACGCGUAAUGAAAGUGAACGGAGGUGGGAACCGCAAGGUGCACCAUCGACCGAUCCUGAUGUCCUCGGAUGGAUUUGAGUAAGAGCAUAGCUGUUGGGACCCGAAAGAUGGUGAACUAUGCCUGAAUAGGGUGAAGCCAGAGGAAACUCUGGU
rnacentral:rRNA from 1 species